UAGGGAAUCUUCCGCAAUGGGCGAAAGCCUGACGGAGCAACGCCGCGUGAGUGAUGAAGGUCUUCGGAUCGUAAAACUCUGUUAUUAGGGAAGAACAAAUGUGUAAGUAACUAUGCACGUCUUGACGGUACCUAAUCAGAAAGCCACGGCUAACUACGUGCCAGCAGCCGCGGUAAUACGUAGGUGGCAAGCGUUAUCCGGAAUUAUUGGGCGUAAAGCGCGCGUAGGCGGUUUUUUAAGUCUGAUGUGAAAGCCCACGGCUCAACCGUGGAGGGUCAUUGGAAACUGGAACACUUGAGUGCAGAAGAGGAAAGUGGAAUUCCAUGUGUAGCGGUGACAUGCGCAGAGAUAUGGAGGAACACCAGUGGCGAAGGCGACUUUCUGGUCUGUAACUGACGCUGAUGUGCGAAAGCGUGGGGAUCAAACAGG
rnacentral:rRNA from 1 species